GCGUAUCAAUAAGCGGAGGAAAAGAAACUAACAAGGAUUCCCCUAGUAGCGGCGAGCGAAGCGGGAAGAGCUCAAAUUUAUAAUCUGGCACUUUCAGUGUCCGAGUUGUAAUCUCUAGAAGUGUUUUCCGCGUUGGACCGCACACAAGUCUGUUGGAAUACAGCGGCACAGUGGUGACACCCCCGUACACGGUGCGGACGCCCAGCGCUUUGUGAUACACUUUCGAAGAGUCGAGUUGUUUGGGAAUGCAGCUCAAAUUGGGUGGUAAAUUCCAUCUAAAGCUAAAUAUUGGCGAGAGACCGAUAGCGAACAAGUACCGUGAGGGAAAGAUGAAAAGCACUUUGGAAAGAGAGUUAACAGUACGUGAAAUUGUUGGAAGGGAAACGCUUGAAGUCAGACUUGCUUGCCGGAGCUUGCUUCGGUUUGCAGGCCAGCAUCAGUUUUCCGGGGUGGAUAAUGGCGGUUAGAAGGUAGCAGCUUCAGCUGUGUUAUAGCUUUCCGCUGGAUACAUCCUGGGGGACUGAGGAACGCAGCGUGCUUUUAGCGGGGGUUUCGACCUCUUCACGCUUAGGAUGCUGGUGUAAUGGCUUUAAACGACCCGUCUUGAAACACGGACC
rnacentral:rRNA from 1 species